rnacentral:rRNA from 1 species
GACGAACGCUGGCGGCGUGCCUAAUACAUGCAAGUAGAACGCUGAAGGAGGAGCCUGCUUCUCUGGAUGAGUUGCGAACGGGUGAGUAACGCGUAGGUAACCUGCCGGGUAGCGGGGGAUAACUAUUGGAAACGAUAGCUAAUACCGCAUAAGAGUAGAUGUUGCAUGACAUUUACUUAAAAGGUGCAAUUGCAUCACUACCAGAUGGACCUGCGUUGUAUUAGCUAGUUGGUGAGGUAACGGCUCACCAAGGCAACGAUACAUAGCCGACCUGAGAGGGUGAUCGGCCACACUGGGACUGAGACACGGCCCAGACUCCUACGGGAGGCAGCAGUAGGGAAUCUUCGGCAAUGGACGGAAGUCUGACCGAGCAACGCCGCGUGAGUGAAGAAGGUUUUCGGAUCGUAAAGCUCUGUUGUAAGAGAAGAACGAGUGUGAGAGUGGAAAGUUCACACUGUGACGGUAUCUUACCAGAAAGGGACGGCUAACUACGUG